rnacentral:rRNA from 1 species
AACGAACGCUGGCGGCAUGCCUAACACAUGCAAGUCGAACGAGACCUUCGGGUCUAGUGGCGCACGGGUGCGUAACGCGUGGGAAUCUGCCCUUGGGUUCGGAAUAACAGCGAGAAAUUGCUGCUAAUACCGGAUGAUGACGUAAGUCCAAAGAUUUAUCGCCCAAGGAUGAGCCCGCGUAGGAUUAGCUAGUUGGUGAGGUAAAGGCUCACCAAGGCGACGAUCCUUAGCUGGUCUGAGAGGAUGAUCAGCCACACUGGGACUGAGACACGGCCCAGACUCCUACGGGAGGCAGCAGUGGGGAAUAUUGGUCAAUGGGCGCAAGCCUGAACCAGCCAUGCCGCGUGCAGGAUGACGGCCCUAUGGGUUGUAAACUGCUUUGUACGGGAAGAAACCUCAUUACGUGUAAUGAGUUGACGGUACCGUGAGAAUAAGGAUCGGCUAACUUCGUGCCAGCAGCCGCGGUAAU